ACUCCUACGGGAGGCAGCAGUAGGGAAUCUUCCACAAUGGGCGCAAGCCUGAUGGAGCAACACCGCGUGAGUGAAGAAGGGCUUCGGCUCGUAAAGCUCUGUUGUUAAAAGAAGAACACGUAUGAGAGUAACUGUUCAUACGUUGACGGUAUUUAACCAGAAAGUCACGGCUAACUACGUGCCAGCAGCCGCGGUAAUACGUAGGUGGCAAGCGUUAUCCGGAUUUAUUGGGCGUAAAGAGAGUGCAGGCGGUUUUCUAAGUCUGAUGUGAAAGCCUUCGGCUUAACCGGAGAAGUGCAUCGGAAACUGGAUAACUUGAGUGCAGAAGAGGGUAGUGGAACUCCAUGUGUAGCGGUGGAAUGCGUAGAUAUAUGGAAGAACACCAGUGGCGAAGGCGGCUACCUGGUCUGCAACUGACGCUGAGACUCGAAAGCAUGGGUAGCGAAC
rnacentral:rRNA from 1 species